rnacentral:rRNA from 1 species
AAACCAACAGGGAUUGCCCCAGUAACGGCGAGUGAAGCGGCAAAAGCUCAAUUUUGAAAUCCCCCCGGGGAGUUGUAAUUUGAAGACUAGGGGAUUUGGCCCAAACCUGCGCAAGUCCAUUGGAACAUGGCGCCCAAGAGGGUGAGAGCCCCGUCGCGCAGGCCGCAGCCUUGACAUCCCCCCGUCAAAGAGUCGAGUUGUUUGGGAAUGCAGCUCAAAGUGGGUGGUAAAUUCCAUCUAAAGCUAAAUAUUGGCGAGAGACCGAUAGCGAACAAGUACAGUGAUGGAAAGAUGAAAAGCACUUUGAAAAGAGAGUGAAACAGUACGUGAAAUUGUUGAAAGGGAAGGGCUUGCAAGCAGACACGAGUUCGCUCGGGCCAGCAUCAAUUUCGCGAGGUGGACAACACGCCAGGAAUGUGGCAGGCUCCGGCCUGUGUUAUAGCCUGCGCGCCAUACACCUCCGCGAGAUUGAGGCCUGCUCCAAAAGGAUGCUGGCGUAAUGGUUGCAAGUCGC